GAUGAACGCUGGCGGCGUGCCUAAUACAUGCAAGUCGAGCGAACGGACGAGAAGCUUGCUUCUCUGAUGUUAGCGGCGGACGGGUGAGUAACACGUGGAUAACCUACCUAUAAGACUGGGAUAACUUCGGGAAACCGGAGCUAAUACCGGAUAAUAUUUUGAACCGCAUGGUUCAAAAGUGAAAGACGGUCUUGCUGUCACUUAUAGAUGGAUCCGCGCUGCAUUAGCUAGUUGGUAAGGUAACGGCUUACUAAGGCAACGAUGCAUAGCCGACCUGACAGGCUGAACGGCCACACUGGAAGGGGAAUUAGGCCCAGCCCCCAUGGGCGGACGAGAGUGGGCAGUCUCCCGCAUGGGGCAAAACCGUGAAGGCGCCACCCCGUGCGCGUAAAAAAAGUUUUCGGCUCCUAAACCUCUGUUUUCGGGAAAGAAAUUAAGUGAAAGUUACUGGAGCACAUUGGAGGAUUCUGACAAAAAAAGCAACGGCUAAUCAGUA
rnacentral:rRNA from 1 species